rnacentral:pre_miRNA from 1 species
CAACUACUCCCUCUGUCCCAAAUUUCUUGUCUUAGAUUUGUCUAGAUACGGAUGUAUCUAAUAUUAAAUGUGACUAGAUACAUCCGUAUCUAGACAAAUGUAAGACAAGAAUUUUGGGAUGGAGGGAGUACUUU